UUGCACAAAGCCCUAGGAGAGCUUUCCCACGAUCCCACCUCCUUUCUCACACUCCCCGCUCCUCCCCUGCACCUCCCCGCCUUCUCCUUCCUCAUCCCGUUCUCUCACGUCGGCGCUCAUCUUCUGGCACCGGGCUCAAUAAGAUAACGGAUUUCGGCUACUCUUGCUUUCCUAAUUGUGUGUUUCCAGGAGAAAAAGUUGUUGCGUCCGCCUACCCCAUCCGAGGUGUAUUACAAAGGCCAUGCUAAAGAGAAUGGUGAAUUCGUGGACGAGACGUCACGAAAACUUUGGGCUGAUUUUCAAAGCAAGAAAUCUACCAACUUGGAGGACGAGAAUCCUAAAACAGAGAACGAGUUAUUUUUGGAAGCCUUAUGUGGAUGGAAGAGUGGGAGAGUGUAUGGUCUUGGAAAUGCUGUUGACAACUUUUAUGUGAAACCAAACAACGACUUAAGUUUAAAGAAAGUGCGGAAUGAGCUAGUGACUAGUUUGACAAGUAAUGUUGAACAACUCUCUUCGAAAAAUUUGGAACAAGCGAAGGAGAUUGAAGAAACAAAGGUAGUCUUAGUUGAAACAACAACAAAGCUCAAUGAAACAGAAAAAAAGCUUGAUGAUACAACAAGACAGCUUAAAGAAACAACAGAUGCUUUGAAGGCUAUGCAAGCUCAGAUUCUUUUCCUAACUGAAAAUGCCAUUUUGCGCCAAUCUUGAAUGUUGAUUAUCGUAUUUUUAGCUUGAUUGAAAACAUUUGGACAAUUAGUUUAGCGCAGAUUUUUUGUUUCCCUAGUGAAAGCAGGUAACUCUCAUAUUUAGGUGGAUUAUAGGUUAUAUAUUGCAUAUAUAUGCAAUUUUGUUGGGAUGAAACUUCUUUUGUAGGCUUUGAAUUGAUCUUUUAAUGGAAGUUUUUAUUAUUUA